UAAGGAAUAUUGGUCAAUGGACGCAAGUCUGAACCAGCCAUGCCGCGUGAAGGAUGAAGGUCCUCUGGAUUGUAAACUUCUUUUAUAGGGGGCGAAAAAAGGGAAAUCUUUCUCACUUGACAGUACCCUAUGAAUAAGCACCGGCUAACUCCGUGCCAGCAGCCGCGGUAAUACGGAGGGUGCAAGCGUUAUCCGGAUUCACUGGGUUUAAAGGGUGCGUAGGCGGGCGUAUAAGUCAGUGGUGAAAUCCUGGAGCUUAACUCCAGAACUGCCAUUGAUACUAUAUGUCUUGAAUAUGGUGGAGGUAAGCGGAAUAUGUCAUGUAGCGGUGAAAUGCAUAGAUAUGACAUAGAACACCUAUUGCGAAGGCAGCUUACUACGCCUAUAUUGACGCUGAGGCACGAAAGCGUGGGGAUCAAACAGGAUUAGAUACCCUGGUAGUCCACGCCCUAAACGAUGAUUACUCGACGUGUGCGAUAAACGGUACGCGUCUGAGCGAAAGCAUUAAGUAAUCCACCUGGGGAAGUACGACCGCAAGGUUGAAACUCAAAGGAAUUGACGGGGUCAUAGCUGUUUCCUG
rnacentral:rRNA from 1 species